rnacentral:rRNA from 1 species
AUGGGAUUGGCACCCGCUGUGGGUGGCGCCGUGUCGCUGGCGCUGCCAGGCUGCCCCGAGAAAUGCAGCGAUGUGGCGAUCCCUUACCCUUUUGGCAUCGGCGCUCAAUGCGCAGCCUCAACAGCUUCUUCAACCUCAGACUACAAAAACACCUCUCACCAGCUACAGCCGAUGGUAGGGGGCCCGGGCGACUUGGCUAUCAACGUCGCCGGCAUCUCGCUGGAGCAUGGAGAGAUACAGGUGCUCAUCCCGGUCAGCUACAUCUGCUUUACAUCAAGUGUCGAAUCGGCAACCACCACUGUGCGCCCGCGACUAGGCGGGCGCUAG